rnacentral:rRNA from 1 species
UACAGAGGGGGCAAGCGUUGUUCGGAAUUACUGGGCGUAAAGGGCGCGUAGGCGGCCUUCUAAGUCGAACGUGAAAUCCCCGGGCUCAACCCGGGAACUGCGUCCGAUACUGGAAGGCUUGAAUCCGGGAGAGGGAUGCGGAAUUCCAGGUGUAGCGGUGAAAUGCGUAGAUAUCUGGAGGAACACCGGUGGCGAAGGCGGCAUCCUGGGCAGUAGCUGACACUGAGGCGCGACAGCGUGGGGAGCAAACAGG